rnacentral:rRNA from 1 species
GACAGAGGGUGCGAACGUUGUUCGGAAUUACUGGGCGUAAAGCGCGUGUAGGCGGCUAAGUGUGUCGGGCGUGAAAUCCCACGGCUGAACCGUGGAAGUGCACCCGAAACUACGUAGCUAGAGUCCUGGAGAGGAAGGUGGAAUGCUUGGUGUAGAGGUGAAAUUCGUAGAUAUCAAGCGGAACACCGGUGGCGAAGGCGGCCUUCUGGACAGUGACUGACGCUGAGACGCGAAAGCGUGGGGAGCAAACAGG